rnacentral:rRNA from 1 species
CGAGCGGACGAUUCAAAAGCUUGCUUUUGGAUCGUUAGCGGCGGACGGGUGAGUAACACGUGGGCAACCUGCCCUGUAGACGGGGAUAACACCGAGAAAUCGGUGCUAAUACCGGAUAAUACGAAAGGCCGCAUGGUCUUUCGUUGAAAGGAGGCGCAAGCUGUCGCUACAGGAUGGGCCCGCGGCGCAUUAGCUAGUUGGUGAGGUAACGGCUCACCAAGGCGACGAUGCGUAGCCGACCUGAGAGGGUGAUCGGCCACACUGGGACUGAGACACGGC